rnacentral:rRNA from 1 species
CCUACGGGUGGCAGCAGUGGGGAAUCUUGCACAAUGGGGGAAACCCUGAUGCAGCGACGCCGCGUGAGCGAUGAAGCCCUUCGGGGUGUAAAGCUCUUUCGGCCGGAACGAUAAUGACGGUACCGGAAGAAGAAGCUGCGGCUAACUACGUGCCAGCAGCCGCGGUAAUACGUAGGCAGCGAGCGUUGUUCGGAGUUACUGGGCGUAAAGCGUGCGUAGGCGGUUUUCCAAGUCUGCUGUGAAAUCUCCCGGCUCAACUGGGAGGGUGCGGUGGAAACUGGGAGGCUGGAGUGUGGGAGAGGUAGGCGGAAUUCCUGGUGUAGCGGUGAAAUGCGUAGAUAUCAGGAGGAACACCUGCGGUGUAGACGGCUUACUGGACCAUAACUGACGCUGAGGCACGAAAGCGUGGGGAGCAAACAGGAUUAGAUACCCCAGUAGUC